AAUGAAGAACGCAGCAAAAUGCGAUAAGUAAUGUGAAUUGCAGAAUUCAGUGAAUCAUCGAAUCUUUGAACGCACAUUGCGCCCGCCAGUAUUCUGGCGGGCAUGCCUGUUCGAGCGUCAUUUCAACCCUCAAGCACAGCUUGGUGUUGGGACUCGCGUUAAUUCGCGUUCCUCAAAUUGAUUGGCGGUCACGUCGAGCUUCCAUAGCGUAGUAGUAAAACCCUCGUUACUGGUAAUCGUCGCGGCCACGCCGUUAAACCCCAACUUCUGAAUGUUGACCUCGGAUCAGGUAGGAAUACCCGCUGAACUUAAGCAUAUCAAUAAGCGGAGGA
rnacentral:misc_RNA from 1 species